GUGGAGGUGAGGUGAUCUCACUGGAGGGCCCUGUGUACCUGAGGCCUUCUAAAGGGCACGUGAAAAUUGAGGAGUUGAAAAAGAGAUGCAGAAGGAUGUUUGCCCAUACAGCCCAUGGAUCUCCAAACUGGAAGGACACCCAUCUCCAUUGGAGGCCUUCAGCCCAUUUCUUCUGCCUCAGCACGCAUAUGGAAAUUUGUCCAGAGCCUCCCAUUUCUUCUAGAGUGGAUCAAUAUGGCUGUGCUACCAUUGAUGAAGAAGCAUUCUAGAGUAUCUAUGUCAUUAAUUUUAAUAUACUUGUCUGAGUCCAGAGUAAACUUUUGUUCAAAAAAGCAAGGGAAACCUUCUUUCCUGAUGGUUCUUUCUUUCUCUCGCACUCUCUCUCUCUCAGGCCAUAUCGUUUGCAUUUUUUGCAACCUCCAAGUGAUUGGGAGUACAGUGAUCUGCCUGUUGCCUCCCAGCUGAAAUGCCAGCUUAGCUGGUCCUGUAGAUCAGCAGCCACAGAGAUUUUCAAAGACAACUUCCAAGCCAUAAAAAUGAGAUACAGGGCACUAUAUAAAGCAAAACCAGAUCAUUCCUCAGCCUAAAGCCACCCGUGAAGCAUCAGUCUACAGGAAUCAUUUCACAUGUGUUUUAAUCAACUUGUAACUUACGCUGGAUAUAUGGGAAUAGUUAAAUUUAUAGAGCUUGGAGUCUGGCCCAUUAAACUCUGUCUAUACUGCUUUAACACUCCUGGAAGCCUAUGUUCAAAUUUGCUUCAAGUCACGACUCAAAUUAAUUCUCUAAGUUCCAGAGAAGUGCACAGCUCAGGCCCAUCAAUGUUGCACCAAACCCAAAGCAAAAGCUUCUCCAUGCAAUUGGUCUGGGAUGCCAAGGAGUAGAGGGUGGCGGAGCAGAUGGGACACGUGGAGCUGUCUGGCUCUGGUUUGCGCCACUAGCUGCACGCCUUCAGGAGAACCAGCCUCACCAAACGUGCACGAGCAGAAACAUGUGUUAGUGUAAUUGGUGGAGAUGAGACCCAGAUGUUUUGCUGAAGCAAUCUCCAUUACUGGCUGCUAAUUUGGACAUUUUCUGGGCGUCCGCUAUUCUUAUCAACAGGGUAGGGCUUUGUAGUUCAUUUUUCCUGUAUUCUCUUGGAGCAUGUUUAGCUGAUAGCAUCAGUGUCUGUGCAGUAGCAGUAAGAGCCCUGCCCUUGCAGGUACUGUGGAAACUAGAGACAGGAUUUUGCCAGUCAGGACAGGAAUGUUUAUUUGAAUGUAAGGAGAGAACCAGACCUGUGACUGCUGUAUCUGCCAUGAGUCUCAGAGGAGUACCCAAGGCAAAAACUGACAGACUUGGAAAUAGUGCUGUGCCUGGUGCAGCGGGGAAAAAAAACACGAGAACCCUUGUGAGAGCAUGCACUCCUCAUGCUGGAAACACAUUUCUGGUUUCCAGAAAAGACGGCUGCAAUGUGCAUGCCUCGGGUUGCCCAGUGACAUGCAGACUUACGCGCCACAUAUAUACGGGGGAAGUUGUGGAGGUAAUUACUUCAAUUAUCUUGUUGCCUGGGCAACCACAUAACACACACACUCGGGCUUUAAUGAGUCACUGGGAGCCAUGGGGCUCUUCAGCACGGCAAGAGAGCAGGCAAAGAGCUCUCCAGACCCUACAGCUCUGCAGGCCAAGCCAGGGAAUGCAGAGGAACUGAGGGACUCCAUCACUGCCCAACAUCCCCACUUACACCAUCUCAAGGCUAAGGGUGGAGAAUAUGCUGGUUUUCUGCCCUUGACACAUGCUUUUUCAAAUGGCAGCUGGGUGGGUGAUGCCUAUCAGCCUAAGAAAGUCAUGGGCUUUUUUUCCCACCAGAUUCAUGGAGCUGCUGGAGCAGGUCCAGAGGAGGGCCACAAAGAUGAUCAAAGGGCUAGAGCACCUCAUCUAUGAAGAAAGGCUGAGGGAGUUGA